CACAGCAAAAUCACCAGUGUUAAAUUUUCAGGGAUGGUGUUAAAUACACAGUGUUGAUGCUGUUUUAACACUAUCUGGUAAUAAAAUAACACUGCCAUUGCUAGGCCAGUGUUAUAUUCACGACAGUGUCAGUGUUAAACAAGGGUGUUAUCAGAUUUCACUCUGAGCGGUGUAAAUCAAGCCACGCCUCCACUAAACAUAUCCUGUCAGGGAUUUUACCGCCAUUUUCUUUCACAGGAGGACUGAAGAGAUCAGUUUGGUGAAAGUUCACACUGAGUGCUUCAAAUCAUUCAGAAGAGAUGCUGUUUUUAGGGCAGUUUAUUAAAGAAGACCUGACAUGGAUGACUUCCAAUGAGAAACGACUGCUAAUACUUAUAUAAAUUCAUUACAGAAGGACCCUACCAGACUAUAUUUGAAUACGGCAUACCCAUGAAUUCUGGAACUGUUAUUCCUUAACCCAGUUUGGAGGAUAAGAGCUUACCAACUAGUUAUAAAUAUGCUGAGGUGAUGUAUUGCAAAAUAGCCAACAUACAACAAUAUGGAUGACCCUCUGUCUGGUCAACAGGAGUUUAAAGCUCACGUAACACACGCUGUUUCUGCAUUUCUGAUAUUAAUCUGGAGUACCUAUGGAGUAGUAUGACAUCCUUUAUAUCUCUGAAGAGUCUUUAGUUUAAUCAGAUUUAUAAAAGAAAGAUUAGCUUUACCGAAUCUUUCCGAUAACGUACGAAAAAAUGAAGAAGGAGGAGUUAUAACACGGGAGGAGCGAGUACGAGUCAUGCAACACUAUACAACACUGUUUUAACUUAUGAUUCACUACAUGUUCGUGUCAUUUAUAUAAUAUACACGCGCCUAUUUCCAACAUAAUACAGAAGUCUUACUUACCGCGUGUAACUCGUCAUGAAAAUCCACCGCAUCAAACACACACACGCAAAACUCCGCUGCUAAUCCGGAUAAUAAACUAUAUCCAUUGUUUCCAUAAGGCUGGAUGUCUUCUCCUUACAUCCAAAAACACACUUCUUGUUGUGCCAUUGUUGACUUUUGAAAUUAAACAAAGCUGAGUGGCGUGAUAAGCUGUUAGCAAGCUCUAGCGUCUCCCGCUGACUGACGGCUGGGCGGGGUUUUCCAGGGGAAGUUUUCCGGCGGAAGCCCAUAUAAAGAAGUGAUACGUAUCGAAAACCCCUGAAACGUCAGUUAGAACCGUAAUCGAAAAAAAUUAGCCGAAACUUGUACGAACCCUGGCGAAGUGCAUUCGGCACAGAAAUACUCUGAAACACGCCCAACUGCAUUUUUGACACUUUGCCUACAUUUAGCAUGAGGAAACAACUCUAUAACUGUGUUAAUAAGUCAGAAUGCUUGAAAUACCAUUAAACCCCCCCUUUAAAUAUGGUAAGUGUACAUGGGUUUGCUACUUUUACGGUUUUAAAGUUUAACUGUAUACUCAUGGUGUUUAAAUUCUGUUUUGCUAGGACGGGACAGUGAUGUGGCAGCUCUUCCCUGGCUCAUUCACCUCUUGCCUUCAUUUGUGAAAGAAGAAAGAAGAAAGAGGGUCAAUGUGCAACUGAAGCUACUGAUUGUGCUGUGAUGAGCAUCAAUCCAUGCUUUGAGGGGAAUGAAUCAGCACAACCCUGCCUGCACUGCGUUGGGAACAGAAGUUGCAUCCAGAAUUUUUGCAUCAUUCUGGACCAAAAAGCCAUUCCCUGCAUGAUGAAGACCACUGAUGCAGCCUUCCACUACAUCAUGAGUAAAACAACUACAGAACUAAAUACCAGGUUGGAACGUAUUUAAGAAAAAUGAAACGUCUUUUGAAUUGAAAUGUCUGUUUUGUUAUGGAAAAAUCUUUAGUAUUGUGAAGGAUAAGCAUUUCUGCCUGCCAGUAAGGUAAUUGCAGUGUAUUUUAAUGUUCAAGUUUUGAGUAGGGUAGCUAAUUUUUUUUAAACUCUCAUUUGAUAUAUUAAAGACCUUAUAAUAAGUGGUUUUCAUGUCA